rnacentral:rRNA from 1 species
UACGUAGGGGGCAAGCGUUGUCCGGAUUUAUUGGGCGUAAAGAGCGUGUAGGCGGCCAAGCAGGUCAGCUGUGAAAACUCGAGGCUCAACCUCGAGACGUCGGUUGAAACCGCUUGGCUAGAGUCCGGAAGAGGAGAGUGGAAUUCCCGGUGUAGCGGUGAAAUGCGCAGAUAUCGGGAGGAACACCAGUGGCGAAGGCGAUCACCUGGGGUUGUUCUGACGCUGAGGAGCGAAAGCUAGGGGAGCAAACGGG